AAAAAAAAAUGCCAUGAAUGAUUCAUAGAUGCAAGGGGGGAAAAAGACGAAGAGAGAGAGGGAGAGAAAGAGAGAUUAAGAGAGAGGAGCUUCAAAGUGACUGGAGCCGAUUUGAAGUCCUGAGCGUUCCUGUGCUGGGCAGGCCAGCAAUUCACCAGAGAGACCCCGUCAAGCUCCCCCCAUCCUCCGCCCCGGCCUCAUCCCUGCUGCCGCUGCCUCCACCGCCAACGCAGCCUCCCAGUUGCAGGUUCAAAGUUCAGCAGCAUCUAAUGAUGGGAAGGCCUCCCAGACCCUCUAAGGAAAGCUUCAGUGCUGAGCUUUUCUAGGAGCCCACAUCCUAGCAGACAUCUGAACAGAUCAAUCCAGAUUGGAGGAAUAAAUGGGGGCUUCUUGACUUCUGACUGACCUUUGGCUUGAACUAAGUGCUGCUUUCCUCUGCUGAAGAGCUGCAACCUGAGAACAUGCUUGAAAAAGCUCUUUUGAGUUUCAAAGUCUCCUUGUCUUGUCCAAGGGUGUCAGAAUCCUUGUUCCUGAAAGUUUGCUAUGGCCUGGAGGAAGAGGAUGUGAAUCUGUAGCUAUUGCAGCACCAGCAUAAGAAGUCUCUGCCUGCCAGGUAGAAGCCAACAUGCACCAUUGGGAGAGAGAGUCUGGACCCAGGAAAAAGAAAAAAAGUCUGCUGGUGUCUGUCUGCAGAUUGUCUCCCUGUCCUAUAUGGAUUCCAUUGGCAGAGCCCACUCAGCAUUUCCUGGAAUAAAUGCUCUUGUGAAGGAAAAGGGUUCGGCAUAAAGCAUGAAACAUUGGUGGAGAUGAGAUUUGUCCAGAGAUUUUUUAGAGGAAGAACAGUCCUGACCUAAUGAAAUUAUGCAAAUAUGUUGGAGAGUAGUCUUCAUUUAUCUGGUGGCUCACCUAUUCUUUGGUGUCCUUCCAGGACAAAGCACUUGCCCUACGUGUACCUUGAGUAUUAAUACAAGUGUUCUCCUCCCCUUGCUAAUGAGAUGCCAGACUGGAGGAGGAAGCUCUCUUGUGAUGGUGAGUUCAAGAACAAAUGUCUUCUGUCCUGUCCUGAGUCUUAGAGCUUAGAGUGAAUUUCACUACCACAAAACAUAGCGAAAGAACUUCUCUAGUACCAUGUUGUGGCUUCAGGCUCAGCUAUAAAGAGUUCCUUAGAUUAUUGACUGAUCUCAUUUAUUUAUUUAUUAGUCUAGGGCUCCUUUGAGGUCCUACCAUCUUUCUCAACUGAAUUUCAGAUAAUCUUUCUUAGAGCUUAGGCUCUUUGGAGCUGGCCAGUUGUAAAGAUAGGUUUGAGCUGUGGACUCAAGUCUGAAGCUGGAUCUGGGCUUGGAAUUUUGGUUCUGAGGUAUUCCAUCCUGUGAUGCAGAUGUUCUCAGAAAGCUUGGAAUGUUCGUGGGAGAUUUACCUUCAAAGUAGUGGAAAUAUUAUAGCAGUAAAUGAUGUAAGAUAGCUUCACCCGUUUCCUCCAAAGCCCUGUGAAUAGUACAUCUCAGGACAGUUGAGUCUGCAUCUAAAAAGACAAAACUCUGCCCAGCAGUUUCAUCUCUGACAGUUAUGAUAGAAAUGCAGCCCCAAAGGGAUGCUGUAUGGCUGGUUCUUUGCCCUGUUAUAAGAUUUUUGUCACGGUACAUUGAAGAAGACUUCUUGGAGGUCUUGAUAGAAACCACGGGGAAAGGCUAACAAGAACUGCCGUAUUAACUCCCCUGGCCACUGCAAAGGUGCUGCAGGGUGAAACGUUUGGAAACAAUUAAUGUGCUCUUAUACCAACAUGACCUUUGAGAGUGCCAGGCAUCUUCUGUGGGGCCUGUAACUCAAGCAUUAAUAAUGGAUUACCAAAAUCAACCAGCUGCAAGGGAACCACUUCUCCCUGCUUAGAUAAUUCUCCUCCCGGAGAAGAGCUAUUGAUUUUGAUACUGAUUCCUUCCUCCCCAGUGGAAGGGUUACACCCCACCAUCACUGUCUGUGACAGCGAACUCUCUCCUGAUCUGCACACACCAUGCACGUCAGCCACGUUGCUCUGCACCAGCGACAGAGACAGCCCUCCUGUACAACUGAGACUGCUGUGAAAAGCGGUGUGCACUCUUCUUUUCCCACCAGGUGAUUCAGUCAGCUUUGCUGUUCAGCUGUGCUUUCUCACCAGUCUGCAGCAGGAAACAUCUCUGAGCACUGGGAAGCUGGUUAGACCCACACUGACAUUGCAUUUGCAUCCAUAUCAUAAGGGAUAUGGAUGAAAAUCAGCUUGGAUCUACCUUGUGCAAGCUGGCUUGUGCAAACACCUUCACACAUAUGUGCCCUUGCUUCACUAUCUUCAUCCCUUCUGCUCUACUAAGUCCACCUUUGUGUUUUGCCACUGGUGUUGGACAAGGUCCUGGGCAAGCUGCUCUAGGUGGCCCUGCCUGAGCUGGGCAAUCGAAGCAGAGGACUUCCAGAGGUCCCUUCCAGCCUCAGCCAUUCUGCGAUGCUGUUUCACUUGCUGGAGCUGAGAUGCAGCUCAGGGUACCAGCAUCUUUAUGCCCUGCUUGAGCUGCAGUCCCUGGUGGGCUGGAGGUAGGGAGAGGACCAUGCUUUGAGCUCGUUCACAGUAAGGAAGCUUUAAUUUCAUGGGAAUAGAAUAGAAUCCAUAGAAUUCCAUAGAAUGGAAAAUUUGUUUCUAAUUGGUUUUGGGACAGCCUGAAAAAUGAAUCAUUUGCAAGUUUGUGUUAGUUGUAAAUAGACCACUUAUUUUAUUUCUUUUUCCAAAGGGGAAAGUGAAGCACAUCUGCCACCCGCAUUUCCCCACAGUGACAUUUGAACUCGUUGGCCAGCUCCAACCACAUUUAACUGUGGUUGGUAAAUGUGGUCUGAAAGACAUGCUGAAAUAAAGCAAUCGGAUGUGCACCAAAACCCUCCUAACAGCCUGAGAUAAGGCAAGCCUGCGGCACACGUUCAACCUUAAUGAGACACCGGAGAAGCCACCUGGGAGAAGAAAGCUACUUGGAAAGCCCUGGGUGUGGGACAGCAUCUAGUCUGAGUUCACACUGCCCCAGACAUCAGAGAAUCCAACUACAAGAGGCGAACCUGUGGGGAAUUGGGCUUCAUUAGUCCCUCUGCUUGCGGAGUAACAUGUUUUCGUGGAGCAUCUUUCAUCUCUUUUCAGGCACGAGCGCCGGAAACAAAGGGCUGGAUUCAUGAGAGGGCUUAGGGUGCUGCUACAAAAUGGUGGGAGCAAGGGUCCUCUUCUGCCUGUCAGCAUGCUGGAAGCCAACAGGGACGGGAUCUGAGUCAUGGUUACGUGGAUGGGUGCUGAGCCCCCAGGCUAGGUGAGGGAGGUGACACUCAGAGCGGUUGGGAAGGGGCGUCUUGUGAAUCUAGGCUGAGAAAUAUGAGCCUUGUUUUACUCUGCAAAUGCUGCAGUGAGACAUUUGGAUAGGAUGAAUCAUCUUCCCGAGAAGACGGAGCCGAAACGAAUAGCUGAAACACCUCCGUGUUGCAGACAUGGAAGCAUCCAGGUUUCUCUGAGCUGGGACAUGAUCACCACACUGGAGCUCCACCAUUUGAAGCAUCAGGACUGCACUCCCAGGCCCUGCUGUCGUGCUUUGGAGAGAAUCGAGCUGGUAAAUUCCUUUUCUUCUGGCUCAAGAUGAAAUCUCAUCUUGUCAAAUCUUGGAUAUAGUCAAAUACCAACAAGCUGGCUUGUGCUCCUGGGUGCCAGCAUGAAGCCAGCCAGCAAGUGCCAUCAAAUCACGCAUCUCUCAUCCUUCUUGGUGUUUCAUCAGUGGCAUUUUUGGUCCACUGCCACUAGAAGCAGAAUGGACGUGGUGGCUUCUCCAGCUGAAAAGCCCAGCACUGGAAGGAGGGGCACUGCCCCCAGACUGAGCACACUGCACAGGAAGGUGCAGAGGACUUGUCUGUGUAUUUCUGUGAGCGAUGUGUUUUGGUUUCAGUCUCUAUUUCUCCUCAGAUCCAAGUGGCAAAGGCUGCCACUCACCCCAAUUCACAUUACCCUAAAUAACUGAAAUUUUCACUUCAACCCUUUUGUUUAGUUCAAUCUUAAAAAUAUGAGCUAACCAAAGCAGGAUUCUUUUAUUCCCAAGUGAGACUUUGCAUACAGCAAAAUAAGGAAGUGUGACUAAUAAUAUAAUCAAUUACCGGGGCAAAUCUCUGCACCACCCAAGGGUCCCCAUGGCAGUAGACCUUCCCUGCUCUCGAGGCGGUGCCAUAGGGAGAGUUCUGCCUUUUCAUGGCUUUGUGGUGGUGUGGACAUAGCCUUUGGGAUUUUAUCAAUGAAGGACCAGUUUCACUGCAUAUUAUGGAUUAAGGAAUAUGCUAUUUAUGGAAAAUGUGCUUCAGGCAAACACAAACAGUUGAACUCAGGUCUGGAUUGACCAGAAGAACCCCAUACAGUUGUAGAAAAGACUGAACCUUCCUAGUUUUAGCCACAUGACAAUCACAAUGCAGCUUUUCUUUCAUCAUUUUUUGUACCCUAAGACCCGUCACAUCUGACAGUU